AGAGUUUGAUCCUGGCUCAGAUUGAACGCUGGCGGCAGGCCUAACACAUGCAAGUCGAACGGUAACAGGAAGCAGCUUGCUGCUUCGCUGACGAGUGGCGGACGGGUGAGUAAUGUCUGGGAAACUGCCUGAUGGAGGGGGAUAACUACUGGAAACGGUAGCUAAUACCGCAUAACGUCGCAAGACCAAAGAGGGGGACCUUCGGGCCUCUUGCCAUCGGAUGUGCCCAGAUGGGAUUAGCUAGUAGGUGGGGUAACGGCUCACCUAGGCGACGAUCCCUAGCUGGUCUGAGAGGAUGACCAGCCACACUGGAACUGAGACACGGUCCAGACUCCUACGGGAGGCAGCAGUGGGGAAUAUUGCACAAUGGGCGCAAGCCUGAUGCAGCCAUGCCGCGUGUAUGAAGAAGGCCUUCGGGUUGUAAAGUACUUUCAGCGGGGAGGAAGGGAGUAAAGUUAAUACCUUUGCUCAUUGACGUUACCCGCAGAAGAAGCACCGGCUAACUCCGUGCCAGCAGCCGCGGUAAU
rnacentral:rRNA from 2 species